GCUACGGGAGGCAGCAGUGAGGAAUAUUGGUCAAUGGGCGGAAGCCUGAACCAGCCAAGUCGCGUGAGGGAAUAAGGCCCUACGGGUCGUAAACCUCUUUUGCCGGGGAGCAAGGGCCGGGACGCGUCCCGGCCCGGAGAGUACCCGGAGAAAAAGCAUCGGCUAACUCCGUGCCAGCAGCCGCGGUAAUACGUAGGUGGCAAGCGUUAUCCGGAUUUACUGGGUGUAAAGGGCGUGUAGGCGGGAAAGCAAGUCAGAUGUGAAAACCAUGGGCUCAACCUGUGGCCUGCAUUUGAAACUGUUUUUCUUGAGUACUGGAGAGGCAGACGGAAUUCCUAGUGUAGCGGUGAAAUGCGUAGAUAUUAGGAGGAACACCAGUGGCGAAGGCGGUCUGCUGGACAGCAACUGACGCUGAGGCGCGAAAGCGUGGGGAGCAAACAGGAUUAGAUACCCGGGUAGUC
rnacentral:rRNA from 1 species